CACCAUGAAGACUUGUUUUCAAUGCUUGGAGAGAGACCUGUUUCCUGAAGGGGGGGAGGUGGGGAUAAAAAUGGUGUCCAAGGUAGAAGAAACCAGAUUCAGAACGCAGGAAUCCUUGAAGAGGAACAAGCAGGACAAUGAGGUGAAGGGGAAGGACCCAAAGCAAGAGGUGGUGAGGCUGCAAAAGGUGUGCAAGUUCAAGAGGAGCAGCUUCAGUGAGGAAGAAGAUGCUACUUCCUCUGCCAUUCUCCUCUUAGCUUGUAUUGCAUGUGCUCCUCUUCCUCUAUAGCUCUGCCUUCCUUUACCUUCGGACUUGGCUUCUACCAUAAGCUUCAGAUCACCGGUGUUCAUUGUCCUCUUGGGAACAUGUACACAGUGGUGCUCUGAUACCUGCAGCUCUUAGGAACAUUGUUCCUCCUGGGACCAUGAACACAGUGACAACCUACACCAAAAGAUGGUCAUAUGACAGUGUCUAAGGAAAUCUCAAUGUGAAAUGUCUGUGUUGUCUCUUUAUGCAUGAAGUCUUCAAAUA